rnacentral:lncRNA from 1 species
AUGAUAGUAACACUGAAUAAACUUCUAAAAGGAAUACUGUUGGUUGAUUUUCUUCUUUUAAUUUAUCAUACCUUUUCUUUCUUCAGAAGUGGAAGAAAAAAUACUUGGAAUAUUAUAGAAGAGCGUGUUCUUUUGGAGAAAAAACUAGGACAUGCCUAUGUCCCAUCUUGCCCCCACCUGCCUUGCUCCAUGCGUGAGUAUAUACUGUAGAAUACUUGGAACCAGUUCAGUUCCACUGAACCACCUGACUGGUAAGUGGUUGGGGUUUGGUUGCUGACAGUGUAACUUACUUUUCACUUUUUUCAUCAUAG